CAAUAGCGUAUAUUAAAGUUGUUGCAGUUAAAAAGCUCGUAGUUGGAUUUGUGGUGUGUCCAGUCGGCCUUUGCUCUCUGAGUGAUUGUGCUGUACUGGUCUGCCAUGUUUGGGUGGAAUCUGUGUGGCAUUAAGUUGUCGUGCAGGGGAUGCCCAUCGUUUACUGUGAAAAAAUUAGAGUGUUCAAAGCAGGCUUAUGCCGUUGAAUAUAUUAGCAUGGAAUAAUGAUAUAGGACCUUGGUACUAUUUUGUUGGUUUGCGCACUAAGGUAAUGAUUAAGGGGGACAGUUGGGGGUAUUUGUAUUCCAUUGUCAGAGGUGAAAUUCUUAGAUUUUUGGAAGACAAACUACUGCGAAAGCAUUUACCAAGGAUGUUUUCAUUAA
rnacentral:rRNA from 1 species